GACGGAGGAUGCAAGUGUUAUCCGGAAUCACUGGGCGUAAAGCGUCUGUAGGUGGUUCGAAAAGUCCACUGUUAAAAAUUGAGGCUUAACUUCAAAGAUGCCGUGGAAACUUUUAAACUUGAGUAUGGUAGGGGUAGAGGGAAUUUCCAGUGGAGCGGUGAAAUGCGUAGAUAUUGGAAAGAACACCGAUGGCGAAGGCACUUUACUGGGCUAUUACUAACACUCAGAGACGAAAGCUAGGGUAGCAAAUGGG
rnacentral:rRNA from 1 species